rnacentral:rRNA from 1 species
UACGGAGGGUGCAAGCGUUGUUCGGAAUUACUGGGCGUAAAGCGCGUGUAGGCGGUUCGGUAAAUCGGUUGUGAAAGCCCCGAGCUCAACUCGGGAAUUGCGUCCGAAACUGGCGGACUGGAGUCCCGGAGAGGAAGGCAGAAUUCCCAAUGUAGGGGUGAAAUCCGUAGAUAUUGGGAGGAAUACCGGCUGCGAAGGCGGCCUUCUGGACGGUGACUGACGCUGAGACGCGAAACCGUCGGGAGCAAACAGG